UACGUAGGAUGCGAGCGUUGUCCGGAAUUAUUGGGCGUAAAGGGCUCGUAGGCGGUUUGUCGCGUCGGGAGUGAAAACCUUGGGCUUAACUCAGGGCUUGCUUUCGAUACGGGCAGACUAGAGGUAUGCAGGGGAGAACGGAAUUCCUGGUGUAGCGGUGAAAUGCGCAGAUAUCAGGAGGAACACCGGUGGCGAAGGCGGUUCUCUGGGCCGAUAUUGACGCUGAGGAGCGAAAGCGUGGGGAGCGAACAGA
rnacentral:rRNA from 1 species